rnacentral:lncRNA from 1 species
GGUCUCCUUUGGGGGUCCCGCACAAAGUGCUGGGGUGUGCUGAAAGGGAGUAAAAAAGCGUCUCGGAAGUGCCGCUGUGUGCGGAGGGGUGCUGGCGGGACACGGCUCUGGUGGCUCCCGGACAGCACCCCCGAGCANNNNNNNNNNNNNNNNNNNNACCCCCGAGCACGCGCCCCAAGUCUCAUUGAUUUUAAUUGAUGAGCGUGCAAAGCUCGUUUCCUUCUCCUGGUUUUGGAUCCCUCAGGUCUCAGUCAUCCAAACCGUGCACAAGGAUUCUGUCUUUGUUUUUGUUUUCUGGUUUUUUCCCCCCUUAGAAUGCAGCAACCAAAGGACACGAACAUCCCAUCCUUUCAGAUAAAGGUUAAUUUCUGCCUGUGGAAAAUGCGGGGUAGGAGAGAAGACAGGAAAUCACCACGAGAAGGAUCUCCAGCCUUCCGCUUGGUGUGCCAGUGCAACAGGUUUAAAACUCAACAUUUCAUCUCCAGGCUGGUGGGAUCUCCGUGUUUUUCCUUCUCCAAGGAGGAGCAGCUCCACAAGGGACACACCGAGGGUGCUCGGUCUGGCUCUGGAGUCGGGAUGAAUUGUCCCCAGAGACCAGCAGGAACCACAGGCAUUAAAUUUGCCAGGAAAAGACAAAAUAACAAAUGCCUGCUCAGUACAUUAUUUCCUGUGUCAUGCUUUUUGUCAAUAUGACAGAGGAGUAUUCCUG